UCUCCGUUGGUGAACCAGCGGAGGGAUCAUUACCGAGUUUUUCUACUCCCCAACCCCUGUGAACUUAUACCUUUACUGUUGCUUCGGCGGGUUAACGCCCCGGAAGGCCCAAAAAGCCGCCGGAACCAGGCGCCCGCCGGGGGACCCGAACUCUUGUAUUUCUUACUUUGCAUGUCUGAGUGGAAUCAUAAACAAAUGAAUCAAAACUUUCAACAACGGAUCUCUUGGUUCUG
rnacentral:misc_RNA from 1 species